UACGUAGGGUGCGAGCGUUGUCCGGAAUUAUUGGGCGUAAAGAGCUCGUAGGCGGUCUGUUGCGUCGGCUGUGAAAACCCGGGGCGUCAACUCCGGGCCUGCAGCCGAUACGGGCAGACUAGAGUUCGGCAGGGGAGACUGGAAGUUCCUGGUGUAGCGGUGGAAAUGCGCAGAUAUCAGGAGGAACACCGAUGGCGAAGGCAGGUCUCUGGGCCGGAUACUGACGCUGAGGAGCGAAAGCGUGGGGAGCGAACAGG
rnacentral:rRNA from 1 species